GUGGGUGUAGCUCAGUUGGCAGAGCGCCUGACUGUGGCUCAGGAGGUCCAGGGUUCGAGCCCCUGUACCCACCCCA
rnacentral:tRNA from 2 species